GCUUGUCUCAAAGAUUAAGCCAUGCAUGUCUAAGUAUAAACUAAUUUAUACGGUGAAACUGCGAAUGGCUCAUUAAAUCAGUUAUAGUUUAUUUGAUGGUUGAUUACUACGUGGAUAACCGUGGUAAUUCUAGAGCUAAUACAUGCCUACAAGCCCGACUUCUGGAAGGGUGGUAUUUAUUAGAUUUAAGGCCAACCGAGCUUGCUCGUCUCUUGGUGAAUCAUGAUAACUUCACGAAUCGCAUGGCCUCGCGCCGGCGAUAUUUCAUUCAAAUUUCUGCCCUAUCAAUUGGCGAUGGUAGGAUAGAGGCCUACCAUGGUGUUAACGGGUGACGGGGGAUUAGGGUUCGAUUCCGGAGAGGCAGCCUGAGAAACGGCUACCACAUCCAAGGAAGGCAGCAGG
rnacentral:rRNA from 1 species